rnacentral:lncRNA from 1 species
CCCUCUACCACAGCCCACUGAGCCUAUGACUGCUCCUACUCAUUCAAUGAGAGAUCAACCUUCUCAGCCCAUCCAUGUUCAGUUAGAUGAUAAUCAAAUGGUGAGGUUAGGAUAGAUUGUUCUAGAUGGCCUUCGACCUUAGACAGAGUGCAUAGAGACUAAACUUGUCAAACUUUCUUCUGAGGUUGGCAAUUUGGUGUAGAGAUUGGAUAUUCUGGAGAGCAGGGAU